rnacentral:tRNA from 1 species
AUCAGAUUAGCAAAGAUUUGCGAUUGAUUUAGACUCAAUAAACAUAGGUGAAAUUCCUUUAUUUGAUA